rnacentral:rRNA from 1 species
ACGGCGAGUGAGCGGCAACAGCUCAAAUUUGAAAGCUGGCUCCGGCCCGCAUUGUAAUUUGCAGAGGAUGCUUCUGGUGAGGUGCCUUCCGAGUUCCCUGGAACGGGACGCCAUAGAGGGUGAGAGCCCCGUAUGGAUGGACACCAAACCUGUGUGAAGCUCCUUCAACGAGUCGAGUAGUUUGGGAAUGCUGCUCUAAAUGGGAGGUAAAUCUCUUCUAAAGCUAAAUACCGGCCAGAGACCGAUAGCGCACAAGUAGAGUGAUCGAAAGAUGAAAAGCACCUUGAAAAGGGGGUUAAACAGUACGUGAAAUUGUUGAAAGGGAAGCGCUUGUGACCAGACUUGCGCCGGGCAGCUCAUCAGGGGUUCUCCCCUGUGCACUCUGCCCGGCUCAGGCCAGCAUCGGUUCUCGUGGGAGGAUAAGAACGGUAGGAACGUGGCCCCCUUCCGGGGGGGUGUUAUAGCCUACCGUACGAUACUCCCGUGGGGACCGAGGUUCGCGCUCCGCAAGGAUGCUGGCGUAAUGGUCAUCAGCGACCCG